rnacentral:tRNA from 1 species
AAGGAAUGUAUGCAACAAAAAGAAC